UAAUCACAUGCUUAACUAUAUCUGUAUUUGCACAUGCAUGAAUUUUUAAGCUUAAGGAAAAACUAUCCUCUUGAGAGGAGAGAAUGGGUGAAACCAGGUUAGUUCAGAUCUCUGCUUUUGAAUACUGGUCUUGGGAUUUGAACUUAAAUGACAUCCAUCUUUCUAGGAGUGCUAUGGCAUGCCACAGGCUAUCCGGAUUUCAGACACAAUGGAGGAGGAGUCAAUAUCAUUCUACUGCAGUACUCACUGAGCUGUGUGCAUCUACAUUACCCCUAUUGGCUACAAAGUGGAUCUGUUUUCCAUGGAUGGAACAACCAAAGCACUGAAAAGUGGCUGGGUGCUUCUAAUGUGCAGCCAGAGUGGAGAAUCACUGAGCUAAAGCAAGUACGGAAUUUUCAUGGGCAAUUAUGCCCAUUUCCAUUUUCAUGGAAAAAGUGGUACUAUUAUAUGCCUCUGACUUCUUGGCUGAUGCGCCAGCUGUAAAAAUCUGAGACAACUGGACACAUUUAAAAGUACUAGGCAAGAUGCUGUCUUCAAAUUUAAUUCUCAUGUUAAUGAAGCUACAGAUUUUUUAUGCUGUCAAAGUUAAUUGACCUCUAUUAUUUAUGUGUAGAAAAUUGCUCUACUUAAUGAAUCCAAAGAACAUAAUUUUACAUACAACCCUGGAUUUUAAUUCUUACCAUUAAGUCCCCUGUCCUCCAAUAUCACUAUACUUUUCCAUUGUAAAAUAUUUAAGUAGAAGAAGAGCCAUAAAGCAAAAUACAAUAAAAUCUCAUGUAGCCAUAAUAAUUUUAAGAAUUAAAAACGUUACUAACACAGGGGAAGAUUCCUGGGUACCAUAUCUCAAUCUCUUUCACUUAAUCCUAAAAAUAAAAUCCA